ACGGGUGAGUAAUACAUCGGAACGUGCCCUGGAGUGGGGGAUAACGUAGCGAAAGUUACGCUAAUACCGCAUAUUCUGUGAGCAGAAAAGCAGGGGAUCGCAAGACCUUGCGCUUUAGGAGCGGCCGAUGUCGGAUUAGCUAGUUGGUGAGGUAAAGGCUCACCAAGGCGACGAUCCGUAGCGGGUCUGAGAGGAUGAUCCGCCACACUGGAACUGAGACACGGUCCAGACUCCUACGGGAGGCAGCAGUGGGGAAUUUUGGACAAUGGGCGCAAGCCUGAUCCAGCCAUGCCGCGUGAGUGAAGAAGGCCUUCGGGUUGUAAAGCUCUUUCGGCGGGGAAGAAAUAGCGUGGGUUAAUACCCUGCGUUGAUGACGGUACCCGCAUAAGAAGCACCGGCUAACUACGUGCCAGCAGCCGCGGUAAUACGUAGGGUGCGAGCGUUAAUCGGAAUUACUGGGCGUAAAGCGUGCGCAGGCGGUUGUAUAAGUCAGAUGUGAAAUCCCCGGGCUCAACCUGGGAACUGCAUUUGAGACUGUACGGCUAGAGUUUGGCAGAGGGGGGUGGAAUUCCACGU
rnacentral:rRNA from 1 species